rnacentral:rRNA from 1 species
GUUCCAUGUGAACAGCAGUUGGACAUGGGUCAGUCGAUCCUAAGAAAACGGCGAAAGCUUGUUCGAAUUUACGACAUAAAAUUUAAAACUGUGUAUGCAAAAGAAAGUAGUGUAGUGUUGGUAGCAGCAGCAGCAGUUGUGGUAGUGGUGGUGGUGGUGGUGUGCCGCCGCCGCCGCCGCCGAAACUACUUUUUGCUGCUGUUGCGUUGCUACAAUCUUGGUGUUUUUGUUCUGUGCAGUUGUCGUAUGUUUUCG